AUUGAACGCUGGCGGCAGGCCUAACACAUGCAAGUCGAACGGUAACAGGAAGAAGCUUGCUUCUUUGCUGACGAGUGGCGGACGGGUGAGUAAUGUCUGGGAAACUGCCUGAUGGAGGGGGAUAACUACUGGAAACGGUAGCUAAUACCGCAUAACGUCGCAAGACCAAAAAGGGGGACCUUCGGGCCUCUUGCCAUCGGAUGUGCCCAGAUGGGAUUAGCUAGUAGGUGGGGUAACGGCUCACCUAGGCGACGAUCCCUAGCUGGUCUGAGAGGAUGACCAGCCACACUGGAACUGAGACACGGUCCAGACUCCUACGGGAGGCAGCAGUGGGGAAUAUUGCACAAUGGGCGCAAGCCUGAUGCAGCCAUGCCGCGUGUAUGAAGAAGGCCUUCGAGUUGUAAAGUACUUUCAGCGGGGAGGAAGGGAGUAAAGUUAAUACCUUUGCUCAUUGACGUUACCCGCAGAAGAAGCACCGGCUAACUCCGUG
rnacentral:rRNA from 1 species